UAGAAAGUGGUGUAGUGGAAGCACUAGGAGUUUUGAUCUCUUGAGGAGGGGUUCGAGCCCCCUUUUUCUAA
rnacentral:tRNA from 2 species